rnacentral:rRNA from 1 species
GAUGAACGCUGGCGGCGUGCCUUACACAUGCAAGUCGUGCGAGGGCUUUUUGUUAGGGUAACCUAACGGAAAGUUCCUAGCGGCAAACGGGUGAGUAAUGGAUGGGUAACCUGCCCUAAAGACGAGGAUAGCCUCCCGAAAGGAAGAGUAAUACUCGAUAAUAUUGCAGAACUUCGGUUUCGCAAGGAAAGAUGGCCUCUGUUUCAUGCUAUCACUUUAGGAUGGGCUCAUCUCCUAUCAGCUUGUUGGUGAGGUAAAGGCUCACCAAGGCAACGACGGGUAGCUGGUCUGAGAGGAUGGUCAGCCACAUUGGGACUGAGACACGGCCCAGACUCCUACGGGAGGCAGCAGUGGGGAAUAUUGGUCAAUGGGCGAAAGCCUGAACCAGCGACGCCGCGUGGAGGAUGAAGGUCGGAAGAUUGUAAACUCCUUUUGUGAAGGAAAAAGGGUUAGAUUUCAAAUAGGGAUUUAACUUUGAUGGUACUUUACGAAUAAGCCCCAGCCAACUACGUGCCAGCAGCUGCGGUAAAACGUAGGGGGCGAGCGUUAUCCGGAAUUACUGGGUGUAAAGGGUACGCAGGCGGACCGGAAAGUUGGAUGUAAAAACUCAGAGUUUAACUCUGAGCUCGCAUUCAAAACUUCCGGUCUAGAGAGCAGAAGAGGGAAGUGGAAUUCCUGGUGUAGCGGUAAUAUGCUUAGAUAUCAGGAAGAACACCGGUGGCGAAGGCGGCUUCCUGGUCUGUCUCUGACGCUCAGGUACGAAAGCUAGGGGAGCAAACAGGAUUAGAUACCCUGGUAGUCCUAGCUGUAAACGAUGGAUGCUUGGUGUUGGAGAGUAAAUCCUCGGUGCCGUAGCUAACGCGUUAAGCAUCCCACCUGGGGAGUACGGCCGCAAGGUUGAAACUCAAAGGAAUUGACGG